AUUCAGCUGACGGGUCCCAAAUAGGACGAAAUGCGCAUCCUGGCUGGAU
rfam:Trichobilharzia regenti genome assembly, scaffold: TRE_scaffold0050606